rnacentral:rRNA from 1 species
UCAGGAUGAACGCUGGCGGCGUGCCUAAUACAUGCAAGUCGAGCGAACAGAUAAGGAGCUUGCUCCUUUGACGUUAGCGGCGGACGGGUGAGUAACACGUGGGUAACCUACCUAUAAGACUGGAAUAACUCCGGGAAACCGGGGCUAAUGCCGGAUAACAUGUUGAACCGCAUGGUUCUACAGUGAAAGACGGUCUUGCUGUCACUUAUAGAUGGACCCGCGCCGUAUUAGCUAGUUGGUGGGGUAACGGCCUACCAAGGCGACGAUACGUAGCCGACCUGAGAGGGUGAUCGGCCACACUGGAACUGAGACACGGUCCAGACUCCUACGGGAGGCAGCAGUAGGGAAUCUUCCGCNAUGGGCGAAAGCCUGACGGAGCAACGCCGCGUGAGUGAUGAAGGUCUUCGGAUCGUAAAGCUCUGUUGUUAGGGAAGAACAAAUG